GACGAACGCUGGCGGCGUGCUUAACACAUGCAAGUCGAACGAGAUCCAAUGUGUAGCAAUACACAGGAAGAUCUAGUGGCGAACGGGUGAGGAACACGAGAGAAACGUACCCCAGACUUUGGGAUAACAGUCCGAAAGGACUGCUAAUACCAAAUAACGUCGGAAGUCGGCAUGGACAUCUGACGAAAGGGAUUCCGGUUUGGGAGCGUCUCGCGGACCUAUCAGCUAGGUGGAGGGGUAACGGCCCACCAAGGCAACGACGGGUAGCUGGUCUGAGAGGAUGGUCAGCCACACUGGGACUGAGACACGGCCCAGACUCCUACGGGAGGCAGCAGUGGGGAAUCUUGCGCAAUGGGCGAAAGCCUGACGCAGCAACGCCGCGUGCGGGAAGAAGGCUUUCGGGCUGUAAACCGCUUUCAGUAGGAACGAAACUGACGGUACCUACAGAAGAAGGAGCGGCCAACUAUGUG
rnacentral:rRNA from 1 species